UUUUUUUUUUUUUUUUUGAGAAAUGUUGAUGAGAUCAGUUAGCUACUAAGAUUCUAAUUUUGAUCUGUGAAAUCUGACAAAUUUCUUUGUUUUUACUUUGAUUCUUAUCUAGAAAAGAUAACCUUUUGUUUCUGGGUUGGAUGGUUGGCCACAAAUUAUCAAGAACACAGCUGUACAGGAGUCACCCCCAGCUUGAGCAGAAGUCUAAUUUCAUUUCAAAAGAACAUUUACUAAAAACUAUGUUUGAGAGAGAACCCUUUUGCUAUACAACUUUGAAUUACCGAAAUCCACAAAUAAAGGACCAGAUUGAGUUCCCUCUGCCAUAAAGGUAGUGACAUGGAAGAUCUGUGCAUAUUAAAUUUGGCAGGUUCAAAAUAAAGGUCUGGAUUUGUGUGCAGGUGAGCUGAUCCGUUCCUCAUGUAAGCAUGGCGGGAAGAUGGAAACAUGAUUAGCUGCCAGCCUCUGAGAUGCUUUGAAGCGAGGGUUGCCAUGUUCUUGAUCUGGCUGCGGCACUGGCAGAGUUGGUAGCCGUUGCUGUUCUUGGUCUGUUUCUUUCAUUUUUGGUCACCUGAUGGUCCUCCAUUUCAGAUCUUUUUACUUCAAUAUCCAGCCCUGAAUAGUGCAUCUCCCUCAUCCUCUCUGGUUUUCCUGCUGAUUCUGACUGGGUUUUCUUCAGCUUUGCUUGUUUCUUUGCCAACAACCCAUUCAUAACCUCUUGUGCAGUGAUAAGUCUAUAAACAUGGCCAAGAACAAGGGUAUCCGUAGGCUUGAGAAGCUUAAUUCUCGUUAUCCGAAGAGAGUUGUUGUUGUUGUUGGUGGUGGUGGUGGUGGUAGUGGAGGGAUUGGAGGGGGUUGGGGGCCAUUUGAAAGAGAUGGAGAAGCGUUGUGAAGUUAGGAGGUCAUUAAGGUGAUGGGGUUGGGGAGGUAGUAGAAAGAAAUGUGAUAACUUUGUUGUGAGCAAAGGGAUGUGGGAAUUAAUAGAAGAUAAGGAAUUUGUGAAUGGCAAUACAAUGAUGGAUUUUGAUUGGCUAGAUGUGGGUGAGGCUAGAUCCUAAUCGGAUUAAAU
rnacentral:misc_RNA from 1 species